GUGGAGGUUAUAUACAGGGGGUACCGGUACUGAGUCAGUGUGGAGGCUAUAUACAGGGGGUACCGGUACAGAGUCAGUGUGGAGGUUAUAUACAGGGGGUACCGGUACUGAGUCAAUGUGGAGGCUAUAUACAGGGGGUACCAGUACUGAGUCAGUGUGGAGGCUAUAUACAGGGGGUACCAGUACUGAGUCAGUGUGGAGGCUAUAUACAGGGGGUACCAGUACUGAGUCAGUGUGGAGGCUAUAUACAGGGGGUACCAGUACUGAGUCAGUGUGGAGGCUAUAUACAUGGGGUACCAGUACUGAGUCAGCGUGCUGGGGUACAGGUCAUUUAUACAUGUAGGUAGGGGUGAAGUGACUAUGUAAUACACAUAGGGAAUAGGGUGCCAUUGGGCCCUGAUCUAAAGUAGUACACUAUAUAGAGAAUAGGGUGUAAUUUCACACACAGCCUCUGUCAGGUGUGUCAGCGUUUACUGCUAACCUGACCCCAUAACAACCCAAGCCUGGUCUCUGCUAACCUGACCCCAUAACAACCCAAGCCUGGUCUCUGCUAACCUGACCCCAUAACAACCCAAGCCUGGUCUCUGCUAACCGGGCUACUAUAUAUAAUACACAGCACCCCUGCCUGGGUCGGCAGGCCCGAACCAGGCUACUAUAUAUAAUACACAGCACCCCUGUCUAGGUCGGCAGGCCCGAACCAGGCUACUAUAUAUAAUACACAGCACCCCUGCCUGGGUCGGCAGGCCUGAACCAGGCUACUAUAUAUAAUACACAGCACCC
ensembl:lncRNA